rnacentral:tRNA from 1 species
GGAAUCUAACUCAGUUGGCAAAGUGCUUGCCUUGCAUGCACAAGGUUCUGGGUUCAAUCCCUAGGACCA